GGGCCUGUAGCUCAGUUGGUUAGAGCGCUCGACUCAUAAUCGAAUGGUCGUAGGUUCAAGUCCUACCAGGCCCA
rnacentral:tRNA from 1 species